UGCCAUGGCCAGUAGCGCUCCCAGUGACCAUGUUUUCUGAACUCAGAAUUCCUGAGAAAUUGAAGGAAGUAAGGCUUUGAUAGUGCAGCUGCGCAGAAAGCCUGGGGCGCAGGACAUUUGCAACCGCAGCUCAGGAUGCUCAGGAGCUCUUCCGGUGGACUUCCUUUCUGGAUACAAUCAUACUACUUGUCUGCCUUUCCUUUCUGUUUCCUGCGUUUCUGCCUCAUGAAAGUCGCUUAUUUGCUGAGGUAGUUUAUUUUCUCGUUGCCGUGGCCAAAUACCUGAUGAAAAGCAACUUAAAGGAAAAGCAAAUGGCUUAUUUUGGCUCACGGUUUAAGGGUCCA
rnacentral:lncRNA from 1 species